rnacentral:rRNA from 1 species
UACGUAGGGACCAAGCGUUGUUCGGAUUUACUGGGCGUAAAGGGCGCGUAGGCGGCCACCGCAAGUCAGUUGUGAAAUCUCUGGGCUUAACCCAGAAAGGUCAACUGAUACUGCGGGGCUAGAGUGCAGAAGGGGCAACUGGAAUUCUCGGUGUAGCGGUGAAAUGCGUAGAUAUCGAGAGGAACACCUGCGGCGAAGGCGGGUUGCUGGGCUGACACUGACGCUGAUGCGCGAAAGCUAGGGGAGCGAACGGG